GUUGUCUUUUUCUUACUGCUUUGUAGCAACCCUUGAUGUAGUCUGGAAACAUCCAUCAAGGAAUUUGGAAAUACUCUCCCAAUUUCAUUGGGAGAGUAUUUCCAAAUUCUUUUGAGCACCUGCUAUAUGAAUAUGCCCAUUGAGGACUAGAACCGAGAGAGAACAGUACACAUCGUGUACAUCAAGCUCUGUGUGUACUUGUUUAAAAUUGUGGCAAGGUCAAUUGAACACACACGUGCAUACCAGCAAUACUGAUAAAAUGUAACCACUAUGAGCAAAAUUGUAUUUUGGUUCAGUCGGCCUACUUGUCACUUUUUUCCCCCACAAACAUCUUAUCAGUCCUCACUUCUCUUGGGGUCAUGUAGGUCACUGGACUUUUUUCUUGAGGGAAUACACAUACCAGCACUUCCUAUUCUCACUCAAGUCUCUUGUGAACCUUCCUGUGAGGCCUCAUCCCACAUCUACUUUUCACUGUUGGCCCUGAACUGAAAAGGUAGAGUGCUUUUCUCCCAGGCUGUUUCUCCCUACUGGCUGUCCCACCAGCUUGCUGUCCUCUAGGGUAAAUUAAAAACUCACAGUUUUUCUCUGGGGUCGACAGUUCCCAGAAUCCCUCAAAUGCUGGAUGCAGGAGAUAGCCUCUUCUUACAAAGGCAGGGCUGUGUAAGUAGGAGGAAGCAAAAUAGAGGUGUUACCUUUGAUGGGGAUGAUUAUCUGCAAAAUGCAAUUUUGACAGCUUCUCAUUUGCUACUCAGGUUGUUUUCAUAUUUGAACCAGACAUUAAAAGUUUUAAGUUGAAAGGAUAUUGAAAUAGUACCAUGUGAUAGUAUAGAUGUUAGGGAGGGCCACUCUUGAAUUUCUCAGUUCCCUGGCAUUUUUGCCCUUCCUCCUUUUCCCUACCACAAUGCCCAGUACUGGUUUUAGUGAAUUCUGAAAGAGGAUCUUGAUUCUUUGGAUUUGUACCAAGCUGCAAAUAGUACCUUUGGCAACAUGUCAGAAUAGCCAUGGUUCUUAACCAGGGAUGGACAUCAGAAUCCCCUGGGAAGUGUCUAUUAAACAUGUCAAACCUGCUGAAUCAGAGUCUGGGUGGAGUGCAGGCACGUGUAUUUGGCAAAAGUUCAGGAAUGAUUCUGAUGUGCCCUCGUGACCAGAGCUACUAGUCUAUACUAGUGCCAUUCCGUGACAAGAUUCACUCUGAAGACAGACGCUCAGAGUAAGUGUUUAGAAACAUUUUCAGCAAUUUCCCAGAGUACGUCUGUUGAUUGUAAGUUUGGGCUUGUAUUGUGCAUAUCUUUUCUCAUUUUAUAUUUUACAAAAUUAUGUAUCUUCCAAAACUGUCAAGCUGUGAUAGAUUGAAAUUUAAAAAUUGGUCCUUCACAGAUAGUUUGAGAAGCACUGUUCUGGGCUAGUUUAUCUGUAUCCAAGUCAGACAGGUACAACUAAAAAUUUUCUGGCUAGGCAGUUUUGUGACCUUAGGUAAGUCUCAGUGACUUCUUCUGGUGGGCUGUUGAGAGGAUUAGAGAUAAUGAGUGUAUCUAAAGCACUUAGCACAGUUCCUGAUGAUAUUAGAAGUUAUUGGAAACCCAUCAUGGAACAGUUUCUAACAAAACCAUCUUCCAGCUGGCUGUUGAAGAAUACGCAGAAUCACGGAGCGUGAUUUCAUUUAUUUAUUUGACAGAGACAUAGCAAAAAAGCACAAGC